AUUGAACGCUGGCGGCAGGCCUAACACAUGCAAGUCGAGCGGAUGAAGGGAGCUUGCUCCUGGAUUCAGCGGCGGACGGGUGAGUAAUGCCUAGGAAUCUGCCUGGUAGUGGGGGAUAACGUCCGGAAACGGGCGCUAAUACCGCAUACGUCCUGAUGGAGCAAGUGGGGGAUCUUCGGACCUCUUGCUCUCAGAUGAGCCUAGGUCGGAUUAGCUAGUUGGUGGGGUAAAGGCCUACCAAGGCGACGAUCCGUAACUGGUCUGAGAGGAUGAUCAGUCACACGGGAAGUGAGACAGGGUCAAGGGGCCUAAGGGAGGGAGCAGUGGGGAAUAUGGGACAAUGGGGGAAAGCAUGAUACAGCGGGGGCGAGUGUGUGAAGGAGGUGUUGGGAGUGGAAAGAAGGUUAAGGGGGGAGGAAGGGCAGUAAGUUAAGACGUUGCGGGAGUGACGGUAACAGGAGAAUAAGCACCGGCUAACUACGUG
rnacentral:rRNA from 1 species